rnacentral:rRNA from 1 species
UACAGAGGGUGCAAACGUUUGUUCGGAAUCACUGGGCAUAAAGCGUAUGUAGCGGCUCCGUAAGUGUCGGGUGAAAUCCCACGCCUACCCGUGGAACUGUUCGGCAUACUGCGGAGCUAGAGGAUGGUAGAGGAGAGCGGAACUCUUGGUGGAGCGGUGAAAUGCGUAGAUAUCAAGAGGAACACCGGUGGCGAAGGCGGCAUCCUGGACCAAUACUGACACUGAGGAGCGAAAGCCAGGGGAGCAAACAGG